UUAAUUGAAGAGUUUGAUCAUGGCUCAGAUUGAACGCUGGCGGCAGGCCUAACACAUGCAAGUCGAGCGGAAACGAGUUAACUGACCCUUCGGGGAACGUUAACGGCGUCGAGCGGCGGACGGGUGAGUAAUGCCUGGGAAAUUGCCCUGAUGUGGGGGAUAACCAUUGGAAACGAUGGCUAAUACCGCAUAAUAGCUUCGGCUCAAAGAGGGGGACCUUCGGGCCUCUCGCGUCAGGAUAUGCCCAGGUGAGAUUAG
rnacentral:rRNA from 1 species